GAUGAACGCUGGCGGCGUGCCUAAUACAUGCAAGUCGAGCGAACAGACGAGGCGCUUGCUCCUCUGACGUUAGCGGCGGACGGGUGAGUAACACGUGGAUAACCUACCUAUAAGACUGGGAUAACUUCGGGAAACCGGAGCUAAUCCCGGAUAAUAUAUUGAACCGCAUGGUUCAAUAGUGAAAGACGGUUUUGCUGUCACUUAUAGAUGGAUCCGCGCCGCAUUAGCUAGUUGGUAAGGUAACGGCUUACCAAGGCGACGAUGCGUAGCCGACCUGAGAGGGUGAUCGGCCACACUGGAACUGAGACACGGACCAGACUCCUACGGGAGGCAGCAGUAGGGAAUCUUCCGCAAUGGGCGAAAGCCUGACGGAGCAACGCCGCGUGAGUGAUGAAGGUCUUCGGAUCGUAAAACUCUGUUAUUAGGGAAGAACAAAUGUGUAAGUAACUAUGCACGUAUUGACGGUACCUAAUCAGAAAGCCACGGCUAACUACGUG
rnacentral:rRNA from 1 species